rnacentral:rRNA from 1 species
AGCGUAGGCGGAUAGUUUAGUCAGAGGUGAAAGCCCAGGGCUCAACCUUGGAAAUGCCUUUGAUACUGGCUAUCUUGAGUAUGGGAGAGGUAAGCGGAAUUCCGAGUGUAGAGGUGAAAUUCGUAGAUAUUCGGAAGAACACCGGUGGCGAAGGCGGCUUACUGGCCCAUUACUGACGCUGAGGCUCGAAAGCGUGGGGAGCAAACAG